GGGAAUAUAGCUUAGUAGUAGAGUGCUUGCCUAGCAUGCAUGAAGACCUGGGUUCAAUUCCUCAGUACCA
rnacentral:tRNA from 1 species